ensembl:lncRNA
AUGGGAGAAAGUAGCAAGGUGCAGGUUUUCCAGGCAAGGGAGCUGGUUUGGAUUAAAGUCACAUGCAAAAUGAGCCAUCUCCAACAUCUACAUCAGGAAGUAACUCUAGCUCAAGAUAGAGGUCAUUGGAGGGGCAACAGAUUUGUAUUGCUUAUUCUGGCUUCUCUUUUCCUGUACUGGAGAUCAUUUGGAAGAGCUACCAGUGACUUACCCUUUAUAAGCAUUAAAUGUUGAAAUAAAAGUGAUUGCUUGUUGAUUAGCACUUCCCUCGAUGAAGUAUACAAGUGUCAUGUAAAACAAACUGAACCCUGCUCAUGAUGGAUUGAAAUGGACAUUCCAUUGGAGGCUCUUUGGGCCAAGACCACAAUGCUUUGGCUCCUAGGUGCUCAUGAAGCUUCUAAUUGACUUUCAUACCACUUACCAAUUACUGUUCUCAAGAACAGUCUUUGAAGUCAAACUUUCAUAGGCUCCUGCAUUUCUAAUGCUGAGAUUCAUUUGACCUGUAGUGUGUCAUGAAUUUUACCCACUAAAUUUAUUUAGAAGCAUCAUGAGUUAUUUAAUGGGAAAUUAUAUUUGAAGAGUUAAUAUAAUAUAACAAUCUACAUAGUUCAUCAUCUGUAAAAAUGAUCACUUAACUACACCUUUUGAAGAGCAUUAGAAUACAAUAUUUACAAAAAGUAUAUUUUUCAAAUUUAGGAUGUUUUCGUGGAUUAAGUGAAUUCUAAAAAUAUCUGUUGAUAGUUACACUGAUUUUAAGAUUACUCAUUGUAAAGUUUUAAAGUACUAAGGUUUAUGUAGAUAUCAAAAGCGUUAUUAAAAUUAUCUUCAUAUCUUGCAUGGAAAUAUGUUAAAUCCUCUAUAUUUUAAAAGGAAAACAAUAGAUAAAUGGACUUAUUAGUAAAAACGAAUUAGAAAUAAAUACUUAUUUUGAAUGUAUUCUAAUUAGUGAAAGGUUUAUUCCAUUGACCACAUCUUCCCGAAAUUUUAGAGAAAUGAAUUCAAAAGUUUUUAUAUGCAUGUUUGUGGCUUAGUAAGUAGGAAUGCCAUCAGCAGACAUUUAUUUAAAAAGCUAUCUAUAAUUAUAAGAGCAAUCUGACUAAUUUCUUCUAGUGGCAAACUGAAGCAGAGGCUACUUUUAGAAUAACAUCAAGAAGUUGUAUAGAAUAUUUUGUCAAAGUCAGAUAAGUAGUAAUGUUCUGAAUUUUUCAUCACAUUUAUAUAUAAAUAAAACAUGAUUACAUAAGUUGCUGAAAUAAAGAUUGUAGCUAUUUCAGUACUCAGAGUACUCUGGAUAUGCUUGUGAAUAAAGAACAUUAAUCAUACACUAUGAGAAAAUAUGUGUCAGUUGUCUUUAUCUAUAUUCACUCACUGACUGAAUAUAUUUUUCACACAGGGGAAAUACACAGAUGAUUAAGCCCAGGGUUUAAAUACAUAUAGGACAUGCUAGAAAAAUCUACCAAUGUUUAGGCUAUGGUCCUUAAUUUCAAGUCGCUUUAAAAAUUAAUUUAAUAUGUUAUUUUCUUAGACACUUAUAUCUUAAUUAUAGAAAU